AAUGACAACGUCAUUACGUCGUGUAUCUGGUUGGUAGAAAAAUAUCGUCCUGCUCAGUGACAAUGUCCUGCAUGCCUGGCGUAUGCUCAUUUUAAACUGUCUAUCAGAUAAUGGGCGCGCUCACACUUUAUCACUGGUU
rnacentral:sRNA from 1 species